rnacentral:misc_RNA from 1 species
GUAACAAGGUCUCCGUAGGUGAACCUGCGGAGGGAUCAUUACACAAUAAAAUACGAAGGCCGUUCGCGGCUGGACUAUUUAUUACCCUUGUCUUUUGCGCACUUGUUGUUUCCUGGGCGGGUUCGCUCGCCACCAGGACCACAAUAUAAACCUUUUUUAUGCAGUUGCAAUCAGCGUCAGUAUAACAAAUGUAAAUCAUUUACAACUUUCAACAACGGAUCUCUUGGUUCUGGCAUCGAUGAAGAACGCAGCGAAAUGCGAUACGUAGUGUGAAUUGCAGAAUUCAGUGAAUCAUCGAAUCUUUGAACGCACAUUGCGCCCUUUGGUAUUCCAAAGGGCAUGCCUGUUCGAGCGUCAUUUGUACCCUCAAGCUUUGCUUGGUGUUGGGCGUUUUUGUCUUUGGCCCGCCAAAGACUCGCCUUAAAAUGAUUGGCAGCCGGCCUACUGGUUUCGCAGCGCAGCACAUUUUUGCGCUUGCAAUCAGCAAAAGAGGACGGCAAUCCAUCAAGACUCCUUCUCACGUUUGACCUCGGAUCAGGUAGGGAUACCCGCUGAACUUAAGCAUAUC